rfam:Canis lupus familiaris chromosome X, whole genome shotgun sequence.
AGGAGGAACAACCACGGUGGCGGCGGCGGCCAGCUCUGGAGCCCUGGAUUCAGCUCCCGCAGUAACUACAGAGCUCUCAGUCUGCAGGGGCCAGGAUGCUCCGGGGGCGG